AACUCUGGUAUUGAUUGGUGCUUGCAUCAUGAUUUACAUUUGAGUGAGUGGCGAACUGGUGAGUAACACGUGGGAAACCUGCCCAGAAGCGGGGGAUAACACCUGGAAACAGAUGCUAAUACCGCAUAACAACUUGGACCGCAUGGUCCGAGCUUGAAAGAUGGCUUCGGCUAUCACUUUUGGAUGGUCCCGCGGCGUAUUAGCUAGAUGGUGGGGUAACGGCUCACCAUGGCAAUGAUACGUAGCCGACCUGAGAGGGUAAUCGGCCACAUUGGGACUGAGACACGGCCCAAACUCCUACGGGAGGCAGCAGUAGGGAAUCUUCCACAAUGGACGAAAGUCUGAUGGAGCAACGCCGCGUGAGUGAAGAAGGGUUUCGGCUCGUAAAACUCUGUUGUUAAAGAAGAACAUAUCUGAGAGUAACUGUUCAGGUAUUGACGGUAUUUAACCAGAAAGCCACGGCUAACUACGUGCCAGCAGCCGCGGUAAUACGUAGGUGGCAAGCGUUGUCCGGAUUUAUUGGGCGUAAAGCGAGCGCAGGCGGUUUUUUAAGUCUGAUGUGAAAGCCUUCGGCUCAACCGAAGAAGUGCAUCGGAAACUGGGAAACUUGAGUGCAGAAGAGGACAGUGGAACUCCAUGUGUAGCGGUGAAAUGCGUAGAUAUAUGGAAGAACACCAGUGGCGAAGGCGGCUGUCUGGUCUGUAACUGACGCUGAGGCUCGAAAGUAUGGGUAGCAAACAGGAUUAGAUACCCUGGUAGUCCAUACCGUAAACGAUGAAUGCUAAGUGUUGGAGGGUUUCCGCCCUUCAGUGCUGCAGCUAACGCAUUAAGCAUUCCGCCUGGGGAGUACGGCCGCAAGGCUGAAACUCAAGGAAUUGACGGGGGCCCGCACAAGCGGUGGAGCAUGUGGUUUAAUUCGAAGCUAC
rnacentral:rRNA from 2 species